ACGACAUGUGCUGUGGUUGAAAGUCGAUGCCAGUCGCAGGCAAAGCGAUCCACGUAAGGGACUCAAAGCAGUUCUGAUCAUAGUGCGGCCUAGAAGUAAGUCCUGCCGCAAAAAGCGAGAGGAGCAGUAGUGGGGGAUAGAUAUCCAUGAGCGAACCUUCCAGCAGGCGAGUGUGGGGGUAAAAACCAGGUCAGACAUGUCAA
rnacentral:ncRNA from 1 species